rnacentral:lncRNA from 1 species
GUCCUUUCUCUUUGCAAACCUCAAGAUAGGACGUAAUGUGCCAAGCAAGUUCUUCCAAAAAUCUUGCAGAGAACAAGCUGGCAACUUUUCCAGUAAUUUGUGGUUGUGAAAGAUGAAUAGUAGACAUUUCAGGAAAGGGAAGUGUCCUGGGGCAAUGCGUUAUAUAGAUAUUCACUUCUGGACUGGAAAUCUCAUUCUUGAGAUUUCACUGACCAGCAACACUCCAGUGAAACUGCAGUCAAAAUUUAUGGAGUCUGCAGUAAAUAUGAAGCUAAAGUAACAGACAGUAACUCAGCUUGACUGUUCCAUCUUCAAAUGCUGAGGAAGCUAUGGAUACAAAAUUCCCGCAAGAUUCCUCAUUCCUGGAUCCUAUGCUGGUGAAAGAGUGAACUGAAAGGGAUAUUAUUAGGACGUUAGCAAUAACUCAAGUUUGUGAGCUCUGUCUAUUCUUUUAUUGUCCUUUUUUUGUUUCAAUUUUUCUUUUCUGUCCUUUACUCUUUCCCUGAAGUAAAAAAGCGAUUGUCAAACUGUGCACAGGUAAAGAUAAAAUGGUUUAAGGAGCACCCAAAAGGUGCUUCGUGUCUUUCAAAUAAACGCAACAACUAGAGCCCA